rnacentral:rRNA from 1 species
GGUAACGGCACACCAUGGCUACGAUAGGUAGGGGCCCUGAGAGGGGGAUCCCCCACACUGGUACUGAGACACGGACCAGACUCCUACGGGAGGCAGCAGUGAGGAAUAUUGGGCAAUGGAGGCAACUCUGACCCAGCCAUGCCGCGUGCAGGAAGACUGCCCUAUGGGUUGUAAACUGCUUUUAUACGGGAAGAAACACCGCUACGUGUAGCGGCUUGACGGUACCGUAAGAAUAAGGAUCGGCUAACUCCGUGCCAGCAGCCGCGGUAAUACGGAGGAUCCAAGCGUUAUCCGGAAUCAUUGGGUUUAAAGGGUCCGUAGGUGGAUAAUUAAGUCAGAGGUGAAAUCCUGCAGCUCAACUGUAGAAUUGCCUUUGAUACUGGUUGUCUUGAGUCA